UACGUAGGGGGCAAGCGUUGUCCGGAAUCAUUGGGCGUAAAGCGCGUGUAGGCGGUUCGGUAAGUCUGCUGUGAAAGUCCAGGGCUCAACCCUGGGAUGCCGGUGGAUACUGUCGGACUAGAGUACGGAAGAGGCGAGUGGAAUUCCUGGUGUAGCGGUGGAAUGCGCAGAUAUCAGGAGGAACACCAAUAGCGAAGGCAGCUCGCUGGGACGGUACUGACGCUAAGGCGCGAAAGCGUGGGGAGCGAACAGG
rnacentral:rRNA from 1 species